AGCUUCGUNNNGAACAACACGUCAAAUUGCAAAUUUGAAAACGCCCCUUUACUGGUGCCGGGGCUU
rnacentral:tRNA from 1 species